rnacentral:misc_RNA from 1 species
UCACCACUUGCGUGGGCAGUCUCUUUAGAGUGCACAGCAUAACCUGCUAGCAACUAAAGAUAGGGGUUGCGCUCGUUGCGGGACUUAACCCAACACCUCACGGCACGAGCUGACGACAGCCGUGCAGCACCUCUGUAGCAGUCCCGAAGGAAAACCGACUUUCGCCGGCGAUCUACUACACUUCAAGCCCAGGUAAGGUUCUUCGCGUUGCAUCGAAUUAAACCACAUGAUCCUCCGCUUGUGCGGGCCCCCGUCAAUUCCUUUGAGUUUCAACCUUGCGAUCGUACUCCCCAGGUGGUAUGCUUAACGGGUUUCCUACGGCACUAAGAGUUGCCUCCUAACACCAAGCAUACAUCGUUUAGGGCGUGGACUAC